rnacentral:rRNA from 1 species
UACGUAGGGGGCGAGCGUUGUCCGGAUUCAUUGGGCGUAAAGAGCUCGUAGGCGGCUUGGCAAGUCGGGUGUGAAAACUUCAGGCUCAACCUGGAGCGGCCACCCGAUACUGCCAUGGCUUGAGUCCGGUAGGGGACCACGGAAUUCCUGGUGUAGCGGUGAAAUGCGCAGAUAUCAGGAGGAACACCGGUGGCGAAGGCGGGUCUCUGGGCCGAUACUGACGCUGAGGAGCGAAAGUGUGGGGAGCGAACAGG